UUGCUCCCAGAUCUUCUUCUCCAUGGUGGUUGGCUUCUUCUCAUACAAGAGAGCAUCGAUCAAUCUAUAUUGGAUGAGCAUGUCCUUCACCUUCAUUUUCCACAAGAAGAAAUUAUUGUUCUCGUCGAAGUGGUUGAUCUCCACUUUGAUUGUGUUUGUCUUCUCCAUCUCCAAUCUCGAUCAACACCACUUCUGUUUGGAUCAUCUGGUACCAUUUGUCUAUGGUAACGAGACUCUGAUAUCAAUUGUUGUGCUCUAAUACUACUUGUUGAGGGAGGAAGAAAGAAGAAAGAGAGAGAAAAAUAUCACAAAUAAAUCAAGAUAAUGUGGAUUGGCCUCAAGUCUAUCUCUAUGGGGCGUGCAAGCUUCACUAUGAAAGAAAGAAAAUCAAACAAAUACAAGGGGAACUCAUCACUCAACCCUUGUACGAAGAUUUCUCAACAAGAAGCUCCAAAAUUUUUACAAAAGCUCUUUGAAACCUCUUUUGAAGCCUCUCUACAUGAUUAAAACGUCACCAGCUAUCCUACGCAACAAACGGCUCGUC
rnacentral:lncRNA from 1 species